AUCUAACCUUAGAAUACGUGUCAAUCCAAGAAGUCGUUAUUCUCGCAGUAUCCAUUGAGUUACAGUAGUUAGAAAAUCGGUAUUAUUUCGCCGAGUGACGGGUACGCCGUUAAUAACCUGCGAAAAUAUGGCUCCACGAGAGUUAAACCUGGGUUAUCUAUGCUGCAAUUUAACUUUUCGCAGAUACCACAAUAUGUUUGUAGGCUACUCCAGCUUUUAACAACGGGUUAAUCCAAAAUUCAGUGAUACUUUUUUUGUUACGUGAAGUCGAGCACACGCUAACUGUGGGUUAGGUUAACCUGGAGUAACUCUCACUCAUGAAUGACACCGGGCAUAGUAGUACAAAAUACCUGGUGAUGAUCAAAAUCGGUGAUUGUUGAUAAAAAAAAUGGCCUAUUUGAUGUGGAUACUAACAUACAUCGAUAUGGAAGGCCGGAGGCUGGUAAAGGUGAAAUAGCACGCCUCUUCGCGUCUAUCAUGGUCGGCUAGAGGCGUGAUUGUUGCAGUAGGAGUCGUGAAAGUAAGAUUGCAUUCGUCUACAAUGCAGGUUAGCAAUUCACCGUUGCGCGUUUCACAGUCCGUGCAAUUACGGCAUACGGAAGAACAUAAGGGCUAUAGGUGACAUAGACGCAUCAGCAUCGCAUCACGAAACCGGUCAUAAGGCAAAAAUAUAUUCAAAAACCUAUAAAGUAACGGAAUUUUCAUAUCUUGUAGACUCUUUCUCUAUUAACAAAAAUGACGCUGCGCCCAUAUUCAUUGUUACUUUAUUGAAUAAAAUUUCUAAUAUGAAAAGAAUAUUAAAUUUUCGCCAUAUUUGUUACAGGUACACAUGACAUAAAUCACCCCGAGCAUGUCUGUGUGGGUAUUGUGGUUUGGAAAUAUCUACAAAGUACAUAGAACUUUAGUGACGAUAUUCAAUGAAAACUACUUAUUCGUAUUAUAACAUAAUUAGAAUAAGGGUUUCUCAAAUUUUCAU